ACUGAGGAAGAUAAGCAUAUUUCACUUCAGCACACAAGUUCAGAUUUAUGCUAUGAUUUUUCUUAUCUUUACAGCUUUGUGAAGCAGAACCAAGAGAUAUUCAUGCAACUAGAUUGACUUCUAGGGAAACACUAGAAACUAGAGGCCAACUCAAAAUAAAAAAGAGGACGGUUGAUAGAGAUCAAUUGUUCCCCGCAUAUCCUUGCAGAUGAGCUUUAAGUUAUCCUUAUUUGUUAGUUUUUUAAUGUUUUAACGAGUCUAGUUGUUAAAGACAUGUUUUAUAUUGUAGAGUUAGAAUUGAAUUAAGAGUGUUCUUCUGUGUAGGAGUCGCCUCUCAGUAGUUACCAUAGUUCAAAUUUUUGUUCAGUUUCUAUCGAGUUCUGUUCGUUCUUUUUUUGUUCUUACUGUUCGUUUACAGUCAUCCUCCACCUUUAACAAGAUUUCUAAAUCAAUAUGCAAAUUAAGAAUAUUUUCAAAAAAUUUCAUUCACAGCGCCACGUGCAGGGUUGGAGUGAAAUAGUUUGAAAAUUGCAUAAAUUGAUGUUCUGGUGCAACACAA